UUCGCAAUGCCCGAAAGGGUGACGAAGCGACGCCGCGUGUGGGAAGAAGGCCUUCGGGUUGUAAACCACUGUCGGGAGUUAAGAAAUGCAAGGAUAUGAAUAGUGUCUUUGCUUGACUAAGGCUCCGGAGGAAGCCACGGCUAACUCUGUGCCAGCAGCCGCGGUAAUACAGAGGCGGCAAGCGUUGUUCGGAAUUAUUGGGCGUAAAGAGCACGUAGGCGGCUAUGUAAGUCGGUUGUGAAAGCCUUCCGCUCAACGGAAGAACAGCAUCCGAUACUACAUGGCUUGAGUGCGGGAGGGGAGAGUGGAACUUCUGGUGGAGCGGUGAAAUGCGUAGAUAUCAGAAGGAACGCCGGCGGCGAAAGCGGCUCUCUGGCCCAUAACUGACGCUGAGUGUGCGAAAGCUAGGGGAGCAAACGGGAUUAGAUACCCCGGUAGUCCUAGCCGUAAACGAUGGGCACUAAGUAGAGGGGUUUUA
rnacentral:rRNA from 1 species